ACGAUGAAGCCCAGCUUGCUGGGUGGAUUAGUGGCGAACGGGUGAGUAACACGUGAGCAACCUGCCCCUGACUCUGGGAUAAGCGCUGGAAACGGCGUCUAAUACUGGAUACGAGUAGCGAUCGCAUGGUCAGUUACUGGAAAGAUUUUUUGGUUGGGGAUGGGCUCGCGGCCUAUCAGCUUGUUGGUGAGGUAAUGGCUCACCAAGGCGUCGACGGGUAGCCGGCCUGAGAGGGUGACCGGCCACACUGGGACUGAGACACGGCCCAGACUCCUACGGGAGGCAGCAGUGGGGAAUAUUGCACAAUGGGCGGAAGCCUGAUGCAGCAACGCCGCGUGAGGGAUGACGGCCUUCGGGUUGUAAACCUCUUUUAGCAGGGAAGAAGCGAGAGUGACGGUACCUGCAGAAAAAGCGCCGGCUAACUACGUGCCAGCAGCGGCGGUAAUACGUAGGGCGCAAGCGUUAUCCGGAAUUAUUGGGCGUAAAGAGCUCGUAGGCGGUUUGUCGCGUCUGCUGUGAAAUCCCGAGGCUCAACCUCGGGCCUGCAGUGGGUACGGGCAGACUAGAGUGCGGUAGGGGAGAUUGGAAUUCCUGGUGUAGCGGUGGAAUGCGCAGAUAUCAGGAGGAACACCGAUGGCGAAGGCAGAUCUCUGGGCCGUAACUGACGCUGAGGAGCGAAAGGGUGGGGAGCAAACAGGCUUAGAUACCCUGGUAGUCCACCCCGUAAACGUUGGGAACUAGUUGUGGGGUCCAUUCCACGGAUUCCGUGACGCAGCUAACGCAUUAAGUU
rnacentral:rRNA from 1 species